GACGAACGCUGGCGGUGUGCUUAACACAUGCAAGUGGCGCGACGAACCAGAGCUUGCUCUGGGGCAAAGCCGCGAACGGGUGAGUAACACGUGGGUAACCUGCCCCGAUGACUGGGACAACCCGGGGAAACCCGGGCUAAUACCGGAUGAUGCAUCCAGGCUUAAGCCUGGAUGCCAAAGGUAGCUUCGGCUUCCGCAUUGGGAGGGGCCCGCGGCCCAUUAGCCUGUUGGUGGGGUAAUGGCCGACCAAAGCAACUGUGGGUAGCUGGUCUGAGGGGACGGUCGGCCACCCUGGGACGGAGACACGCGCCGUACUCCUACGGGAGGCAGAAGUGGGGAUUCUUGCGAAAUGCCCGAACGCGUGACUCAGCAACACCGCGUGAGGGAAGACGGCCUUAGGGUUGUAAACCUCUUUCAGUUGGGACGAAGGUGCGGCGGUGAAUAGCCGGCCGGACUGAGGGUACCUUCAGAAGAAGGGCCGGCUAACUACGUGCCAGCAGCCGCCGUAA
rnacentral:rRNA from 1 species